UGCGGUAGUCCACCACGUCGCGGCGCUGGCUGCCCUGCGUGCCAUGCCGGUGGCGCCGGCUCCACCUGCAACACAGGCGCGCAGACGUCGCUGCACUCUCCCCCGUCAUCUCCUCCGCUCGUCAUCUUCAUUCUUCAACUGGCCUCAUCCCGCCACCAGGCUUGCGCCAGCUGGUCGUUAACCAUGAAAAAAAUUGGUGGCCACAAGAUAAUGCAAUAUCAAAAUUCAAAGAUGGAAAGCUGAUGGGAAGAAGACGUGUGGUGCGAGAACUGAGCUGGAGCUGGGGAACUAGCAGGUGCCACACCCAGGGACGCCAUUGCCCUUCCCGCUAGAACGAUAGCCGAGCUACCAGCACCAACCAGCAACAUUGAGGUGACCAGCGGCUGUUGUCCAUCUGGGCAUUUCAGAACAACGGUGCUCACAUUUCCCAGGACUAGCAUCAAGUGUAGGAUAACUGUCACCAAUAGAAACGCUAGAAUACUGGACCACCGGUUUGACGUCGUCCGGGCCUGCGGCCCCCUUUGAGCCCGAUAUGCCAUCGCCCAAACACCACCAUCUCCGUUCAAACCUCCCGCUUGUGCGUGCGUGUGUGCGUGUGUUGGUAGCCCGGCAAGAGGGCGCUUAGCUGCAGUGCGCCGCACCCCUAAUAUGUAUUAAUAAUUAUUGUAAUCCUUUUCUUUUCGCCCCAAAAUAGUGUCACGACGGCUAUGUAUGUGAGUGUCUUUUGUUUAAUUAAAUUAUGAUGUUUUGUAGUAAAAUACGUGCAAGCACGGACAAGGACGCUCCCUAGCGGGCGACGGCGGAACUAACAUGCAACUUGAUUUAAACUAUUUUACUUACAUAAGUAAUAAUUACAGACGGUCUGGUCAUGGGUGUGAAUUGCUAAUUUUUAUAAAGAGUUUAUGUUAUUUUCCAUAAUAACCCGGGGCACGCAAUAGCUAGGGUGUUAACGGUAAUUGUGUUCGGCGCGAAUGGCACCAUGUUGCCAUCCGCAAGCCCUUGUCUCUCCCAAGUCUCCUUCUUCAGCCGGCCGAGAGCGGACGUCUCUGCAGACACCCCGAGGACAUCACCGUAGUUUCACCGAGAAAUAGUUCUGUUAAGUAAUCUAUCCAAAUCGUUUUCUUUAUAUCCUCGGGGCCUCUCUCGGUCGCAGAGACUGCUUAAGUAAUAAUUAUUUACUCUCUGGAGUUUUUUGUCAUCCGUGUAAGAAGUAAGAACUUGAGGCGACCACGUGCGUGGUUCGCCUCCUCACCUAAUUCGAUUCGUACCUCGGGCGUUUUAUAACCGUAUCAAGGAAGGAUUGUGUAAGGGCGUGUAACGUGAGUAAAUAAAAACCAACUUAAUUGAGUCACGUGUCUUUGUAUUCGGGGGGGCCACGUGGGUCCUUAACCAGUCAGCGCCCUAAGAGCCCACUGAGGUUAAUUAGAAGCGUGCCCGACGCUAAGAGCGGGCUUGGUUAGGAACAGGUGUGCAUUAAAUAUCAGGAGGGCUAAUAUCUCGCCGCACACGGGCCACGUAACACCCUGAGUUAGAGUUUCGAGCCGGGUCCACGUGCCCACUCACGUGGUGGCGCCCAUUAUUUUCCACCAGUAUUCAGACCUUAACACCGGGAUGUCCUCAGAUUAAUUAAAUUCAUAAGCCACGUACAUACUGUAGCCAUGCUUAUCAUU